rnacentral:ncRNA from 1 species
CUCAUCCAGAGCGGUGGAGGGACUGGCCCUACGAAGCCGCGGCAACCAUUGUCAACAUGACAAAACGGUGCUAAUUCCUGAAGGCAUAGCCUGAAAGAUGAGA